rnacentral:rRNA from 1 species
AUGAAUCUCCAUAAUAACUGUCAGCAACAGCUAUCGUGCUCAAAUUCUGCAAGGCCGCCAACAUUUUGGACCAUCUGUCCAACCUGUGUCACCAAAUAUCAGUACCACCAUGCAAUUUUGAAGAAAGCUGUCUGCUGCCAUAAUUGCUCGAAAGCCUUCAUAGCACAUGCUUUAACUGAGCAACAUGUUCCUUCUGGUCCAUAUCAACAGUUUGCUGAGCUGUGGAUAAGUGCAGGAGUAUUUUCAGAAAUUAGAUUGCUUCAGAAGUUCGAACCUGGGCAGAUAUGGGCUCUCUACAGUGACAUAGACAAGUUUCCGAAUUACUAUGUCUUCAUAGAGAAAGUUGAUCUCGAGAAUAAUGAAGUACAGGCAAGAUGGCUUGAAGCUUUUCCUGAUGAAGGGGUGGACCAAAGAUUGGUAGUAGAUCGAACUGCUGAGUGUGUUGCGUCCAAUGGCUGA